GAUGAACGCUGGCGGCGUGCCUAAUACAUGCAAGUCGAGCGAACGGACGAGAAGCUUGCUUCUCUGAUGUUAGCGGCGGACGGGUGAGUAACACGUGGAUAACCUACCUAUAAGACUGGGAUAACUUCGGGAAACCGUAGCUAAUACCGGAUAAUAUUUUGAACCGCAUGGUUCAAAAGUGAAAGACGGUCUUGCCGUCACUUAUAGAUGGAUCCGCGCUGCAUUAGCUAGUUGGUAAGGUAACGGCUUACCAAGGCAACGAUGCAUAGCCGACCUGAGAGGGUGAUCGGCCACACUGGAACUGAGACACGGUCCAGACUCCUACGGGAGGCAGCAGUAGGGAAUCUUCCGCAAUGGGCGAAAGCCUGACGGAGCAACGCCGCGUGAGUGAUGAAGGUCUUCGGAUCGUAAAACUCUGUUAUUAGGGAAGAACAUAUGUGUAAGUAACUGUGCACAUCUUGACGGUACCUAAUCAGAAAGCCACGGCUAACUACGUG
rnacentral:rRNA from 1 species